AAAAAAAACAACCUGCCGCCCGCGCCGUGCAACCUGGAGGAUCGAGGCGGGUUGUUCUGGUCGAUUUCGGCCACGACGGGGGCUGGGCAGUUCCAGGAGGCGCUUCGCAUGACGGGCUCGGCAGGGGGCAGCGCACUCCGAGUCCACGGCGUCACCACCAUGAGCAGGAACCCCGACGGCUGUCCUCCAUGGCUCAUACGACUGCACCGUCCGGCCUCCAACACAACGGCUGUCCUCCUAGAGUCCCGGUGAACGCAGAUCGACCUCAUGGGUGACUUACAGGAGCUUCCCGGACCUACGGCAACAGUGAUCGAGGAACUCUGCUGCUCGAAAUUAGGAGGAACUGCAGGUUGGGCCUGAACUAAAUUUUUUGAGAAACCUUUUCUGUUCUACAGAUGGGAUUCUAGAAUCCAUUGCUUACAUGAUAAUGAAGGUUUGGUGAUUACCUGAAAUUUGGAAGCAGUAUUGAUUUUCUACUAGAAGAUUGAAAGGAGGUACAUGCCAGAUCCACUAUUCAUUGCGGUGCUAUUGUUAAUUUAUAGGUUCAAAUUAUUCAAGCUGUUGGUCUGAAUUUAUUCCCAUACAUCAGUUCAAGCUGUUGUGGAUCCUAAGAACCAAGCUGGAUUUAUUGGACAACAUCCUAUUACGAGGUUUGAGUUGUACUUGCUCUGGAUUUGUUUCUGUAAAACUUAAAUGACACUGUACAUUUUUGUAGAAACUAUGAUGUUGAAAUUCAGAUUUCUUUACAAAUGACCAUUAAGUUCUGAGCUCUUUCUCUUACUCUAAAGCUGCAUGUACUAGCUAAAAUCAUGACAUUAGACAUCAAGUAUAGAAAUUGUUUGGUUUUUAUUCCAGUACAUGGCGUCAUACUUUGAACAGUUCUUUCAUUUAUCUAUAACAUCCUGGAUGAAGAAUUUUAUAGAGUUGAUUAGAUACCUUUUUAUGCCACUUAUUGUAAAUUGAUAAGUCGUGUUAGAUUUAAAGAUUGUCAAGACUGACAUCCCAAUCACCAGAAGAUUGAUUGAAUUUAACUGUGGUUCUAUGAAAUUUGAUGUUAUGAUUAUUUCAGAUAUUAUUGUGAUUCUCUGCAAGAUUUUGUUGUUUUAGUCACAACCUAUCUAAAUUUUAUUUCUUCUACAUUUGUUCAUGAUCUUUCGUUGAACUGUGAUGCCCAUGAAUUUUGUUUUAGAUCGCAAGAGAUUCAGGUAGACUCUACGGGUGAUUGCUAAGCACCAAGUAAAGAAUUAAUACAAAGGAAAUUGUUAAGUCUGUCUUCUGUACUGCUAGAAGUUACAGGUGACGUACACGAUUGUUUGUAGAAGAGGAAACUGAGGAAGGCUUCUAUGCAUAACGUGUCCAUACCUUACUCAAUUGUUUGGUGUCCAUCAAAGAAAUGUGCCAGCACGGAAGUCAGUAGAUUUCUAGGCUUGCAUAUGUAGUAACGACAAUCAUGUAUUUAGGUGCACUCGUCUAUUAUUAUGCACUCAUGAAAUUUGGUUUGCUGGGGUGUAACCUCUGAUCUCUCUUUACUUUUGAGCUUAAUAUAUAAGUUGAAUUAGAGUUAUUGUAAAGGAAACUUUACAUGUAAAUUGCAUAUAUGAUAAAAGAUAUUUGAUUAA